AUUGAACGCUGGCGGCAUGCCUUACACAUGCAAGUCGAACGGUAACAGGUUAAGCUGACGAGUGGCGAACGGGUGAGUAAUGUAUCGGAACGUGCCCAGUCGUGGGGGAUAACUGCUCGAAAGAGCAGCUAAUACCGCAUACGACCUGAGGGUGAAAGCGGGGGAUCGCAAGACCUCGCGCGAUUGGAGCGGCCGAUAUCAGAUUAGGUAGUUGGUGAGGUAAAGGCUCACCAAGCCGACGAUCUGUAGCUGGUCUGAGAGGACGACCAGCCACACUGGGACUGAGACACGGCCCAGACUCCUACGGGAGGCAGCAGUGGGGAAUUUUGGACAAUGGGCGCAAGCCUGAUCCAGCCAUGCCGCGUGCGGGAAGAAGGCCUUCGGGUUGUAAACCGCUUUUGUAAGGGAAGAAAAGGUUCUGGCUAAUACCUGGGACUCAUGACGGUACCUGAAGAAUAAGCACCGGCUAACUACGUG
rnacentral:rRNA from 1 species